ACACGACUCUCGGCAACGGAUAUCUCGGCUCUCGCAUCGAUGAAGAACGUAGCGAAAUGCGAUACCUGGUGUGAAUUGCAGAAUCCCGCGAACCAUCGAGUCUUUGAACGCAAGUUGCGCCCGAGACCUUUUGGUUGAGGGCACGCCUGCCUGGGCGUCACGC
rnacentral:rRNA from 1 species